UACGAAGGUGGCAAGCGUUGUUCGGAUUUACUGGGCGUACAGGGAGCGUAGGCGGUUGGAUAAGCCCUCCGUGAAAUCUCCAGGCUUAACCUGGAAAGUGCAGAGGGGACUGUUCAGCUAGAGGAUGGGAGAGGAGCGCGGAAUUCCCGGUGUAGCGGUGAAAUGCGUAGAGACCCGGAGGAACACCAGUGGCGAAGGCGGCAUCCUGGUCUGCGACUGACGCUGUGGCGCGAAAGCUAGGGGAGCGAACGGG
rnacentral:rRNA from 1 species